rnacentral:rRNA from 1 species
AACGAACGCUGGCGGCAUGCCUAACACAUGCAAGUCGAACGAAGCCUUCGGGCUCAGUGGCGCACGGGUGCGUAACGCGUGGGAAUCUGCCCUUGGGUUCGGAAUAACAGUUAGAAAUGACUGCUAAUACCGGAUGAUGUCUUCGGACCAAAGAUUUAUCGCCCAAGGAUGAGCCCGCGUAGGAUUAGGUAGUUGGUGGGGUAAGGGACCACCAAGCCGACGAUCCUUAGCUGGUGUGAGAGGAUGAACAGCCACACUGGGACGGGGACACGGCCCAGACUCCUACGGGAGGCAGCAGUGGGGAAUAUUGGACAAUGGGCGAAAGCCUGAUCCAGCAAUGCCGCGUGAGUGAUGAAGGCCUUAGGGUUGUAAAGCUCUUUUACCAGGGAUGAUAAUGACAGUACCUGGAGAAUAAGCUCCGGCUAACUCCGUGCCAGCCGCCGCAGUAA